UCACACUGUAAACUUAGGAGAAAACCAAUGAAAUUUGGAUUUUCCUUUGUGAUGUCUAAGCAGAAUUUUUAAAGUGUUUUGUGCACUCCAAUGGUCAGCGUUAGAAAAUAGAUGCUCCUGCUACUGACUGACCUACAUGCCUCCUUCUGCAAUAUGUCUGAAAUGCAUCGCAUUCUUUACUGGUGCGUGGCACUUCUUAAUCUCCAUAGACACACGCAAACUUCACUUUACAGGCCAAAGCAGGAUCUGAUUCCUUGGGCUAUACCCCUAACCAUUAUUGUUUAAUUCAUCAACUUACUCUGCUGCUGUUAUGUGCCUGCGAUGCCAAUCUUUACAUAAGAAAAAGGAAAAAAA
rnacentral:lncRNA from 1 species